rnacentral:rRNA from 1 species
UACAGAGGGGGCAAGCGUUGUUCGGAAUUACUGGGCGUAAAGGGCGCGUAGGCGGCCGCCUAAGUCAGACGUGAAAUCCCUCGGCUCAACCGGGGAACUGCGUCUGAUACUGGAGGGCUUGAGUAUGGGAGAGGGAUGUAGAAUUCCAGGUGUAGCGGUGAAAUGCGUAGAUAUCUGGAGGAAUACCGGUGGCGAAGGCGGCAUCCUGGACCAUUACUGACGCUGAGGCGCGAAAGCUAGGGGAGCAAACGGG